AUGGGUGCAUACAAGUACAUCCAGGAGUUGUGGAGGAAGAAGCAGUCUGAUGUGAUGCACUUUCAUCUGAGGGUCCACUGCUGGCAGUACCGCCAGCUCUCUGCCCUUCACAGGGCUCCCCACCCCACCCAGCCAGAUAAAGCGUGCAGACUGGGAUACAAGGCUAAGCAAGCUUAUGUCAUAUACAGAAUUCGUGUGCGUGUGGUGGCCACAAACACCCAGUUCCUAAGAGUGCAACCUAUGGCAAGCCUGUGCAUCAUGGUGUUAACCAGCUAAAGUUUGCUCGAAGCCUUCAAUCAGUUGCUGAGGAGCGAGCUGGACGCCACUAUGGGGCUCUAAGAGUCCUGAAUUCUUACUGGGUUGGUGAAGAUUCCACGUACAAUUUUUUUGAGGUUAUCCUCAUUGAUCCAUUCCAUAAAGCUAUCAGAAGAAAUCCUAACACCCAGUGGAUCACCAAACCAGUCCACAAGCACAGGGAGAUGCCUGCGUGGGCUGACAUCUGCAGGCCGGAGGAGCUGUGGCCUUGGAAAGGUCCAUAAAUUCCACUACACUAUUGGUGGUUCCUGCCGUGCAGCUUGGAGAAGACGCAAUACUCUCCAGCUCCACCUUACCGCUAAAGUAUUCAGGGAAAGGGAAAACUUCCCCUUUGCUCCAGAAAGGUUUACUGAAAGAUCAACUCACAAUAGAUAG